rnacentral:tRNA from 1 species
GAUUAAAUGGCUGAAACUUAGGCGAUAGACUGUAAAUCUAUUUAUGGAAUAUUAUAUUUCUUUAAUCA